AUAUUGAAAUAAUAAAUAGUUUUAAAAUAAUAAUUAUUAUUUUAAAUAAUAGGGAAGCAGGUGAGAAUCAUGCACGGUCCCGCCGCUGUAAUGGGGAACUUUUUCAAAAUAAGCCACUAGAUUUUAUUUCUGGCAAGGUUUAAAAAAGUAAUGAACCUAAGUCAGAACACCUGCCUAUAUUAAAUGCACUAUA
rnacentral:ncRNA from 1 species